rnacentral:lncRNA from 1 species
UUCUCCACGUGUGCCCGCGUGUGAGUGUGCAGGGAGGGAGCUGGUGAGCACUUCCGUCGCCAGCCUCCACCGAGAGCUUUGUCAUCGUCUUGGUGAAUCAGCACGUCCAAGGGAAUGAACGCGAAGACUACCUUGAGCUCACGGAGGGAACUGUCAUCUAAACCAGGGGAACCACCGAACUAAAGCCCAUUUUGCUCGCAUUUUCUGGUGACUUUUAUAGAUUUCAAAUACUCAGACUUGUGGAAUUUUAUAAUUUCAUAUCAGCUGAUGAGUACUGGCUCUUUCCACAAGAGGGCAACAAAGUCCUUCAGCGCCUUUCUUCUCAAAACUUCGGGAGAUGCCUCUUUGAAGUCUUACAGAAUAGACUCUCUUGGCUCCGAGCUUGUUUAUAGAUCUGUGUGUUUAAGACAUUUUCCCUUCUUGCCAAGUCCAGUGGUUGCUCAGCCUUCAGGAUGCAAACAAAGACUGAUGAGUGGGUCAGGCAUCUGAAUUAGCCGCUUGAAAACGGUGGCCUGAGAUGGAGAGCUUAGGACCCACCCUUGGGCGCUCGACUGCACAGAGCAGGGAGGCAGCCCUCCUUACUUCUUUCUCACACACCCCACCAUCGCUGCGGGAGGAUCCCAUCGACGAGAGGGACAAGCAGCAGGGCUGACUCUGGAGUAGGACAGAGGAAGUUCCGUCUCGUCCAGGACUUGUCCUGCCGCUCCUGACCCUCGUCAGCGCUCUGACCACGAGGUUUGUCCUCACCGCAACAUCUUCCUCACAGCCAGUCAUGACUGAGGGCAAACACUCGAGCAUCACUGUUCACCCCGUCGAGGCAGGAGGCAUCUGCACCCGGAACGGCCUUCUUACCGGAUCUCUGCCUGGCUCCUUCCCCACCUCCCACCCCCCCUCACCCCCGCCCCGGCCGAGUCUGACCCACUCCCACACUUGACAAAACGCGAGCGAAACUGAAGCUGUGAUUGGUUUAGGUAACAGGUGGCCAGGUGUAACUUGUUGGCUUUUAUUUUUGGUUUCCCCAACAGUACUGAAAUCACUUGCACUUUUCCUCGUUUCUUAAAGAAAAGAAAACCCAGUUUGCUUGCCAGGAAUUGUUUAGCGUUAGGUUUACAAAGCUUGUUGUUGAAUGUUGAACAUUUGUCCAAAGGAGUUUGACAAAACAGAAGCUGCUUGGUCCCUGUUUCGCCUGCUAGGUCGCAAGGAUUCAGGCCAUGCGGCUGGGGUACUUGUGUCAAGUCCAGAAGGGGGCAGUGUCCCUCUCCUACCUCUGUGAAGACGCCAUUGAAGGUCAAGUUGGACUCGCGUAGGGCAGGUAUUUCUCUUGCUGCAAAGCGUAGAGGAGCCUUUCAGUUGGGGAGGUGACAGGUAG